AGUGAACGCUGGCGGUAGGCCUAACACAUGCAAGUCGAACGGCAGCACAGUAAGAGCUUGCUCUUACGGGUGGCGAGUGGCGGACGGGUGAGGAAUACAUCGGAAUCUACUUUUUCGUGGGGGAUGACGUAGGGAAACUUACGCUAAUACCGCAUACGACCUACGGGUGAAAGCAGGGGAUCUUCGGACCUUGCGCGAUUGAGUGAGCCGAUGUCGGAUUAGCUAGUUGGCGGGGUAAAGGCCCACCAAGGCGACGAUCCGUAGCUGGUCUGAGAGGAUGAUCAGCCACACUGGAACUGAGACACGGUCCAGACUCCUACGGGAGGCAGCAGUGGGGAAUAUUGGACAAUGGGCGCAAGCCUGAUCCAGCCAUACCGCGUGGGUGAAGAAGGCCUUCGGGUUGUAAAGCCCUUUUGUUGGGAAAGAAAAGCAGCAGGUUAAUACCCCGCUGUUCUGACGGUACCCAAAGAAUAAGCACCGGCUAACUUCGUG
rnacentral:rRNA from 1 species